AUUGAACGCUGGCGGCAGGCCUAACACAUGCAAGUCGAGCGGAUGAAGGGAGCUUGCUCCUGGAUUCAGCGGCGGACGGGUGAGUAAUGCCUAGGAAUCUGCCUGGUAGUGGGGGAUAACGUCCGGAAACGGGCGCUAAUACCGCAUACGUCCUGAGGGAGAAAGUGGGGGGUCUUCGGACCUCACGCUAUCAUAUGAGCCUAGGUGGGAUUAGCUAGUUGGUGGGGUAAAGGCCUACCAAGGCGACGAUCCGUAACUGGUCUGAGAGGAUGGUCAGUCACACUGGAACUGAGACACGGUCCAGACUCCUACGGGAGGCAGCAGUGGGGAAUAUUGGACAAUGGGCGAAAGCAUGAUCCAGCCAUGCCGCGUGUGUGAAGAAGGUCUUCGGAUUGUAAAGCACUUUAAGUUGGGAGGAAGGGCAGUAAGUUAAUACCUUGCUGUUUUGACGUUACCAACAGAAUAAGCACCGGCUAACUUCGUG
rnacentral:rRNA from 1 species